UACGGAGGGUGCGAGCGUUGUUCGGAAUUACUGGGCGUAAAGCGCGUGUAGGCGGCUUGGCAAGUCGGGUGUGAAAUCCCUCAGCUUAACUGAGGAAGUGCGCCCGAAACUGCCGAGCUUGAGUACCGGAGAGGGUGGCGGAAUUCCCCAAGUAGAGGUGAAAUUCGUAGAUAUGGGGAGGAACACCGGUGGCGAAGGCGGCCCCCUGGACGGAUACUGACGCUGAGACGCGAAAGCGUGGGGAGCAAACAGG
rnacentral:rRNA from 1 species